rnacentral:tRNA from 1 species
UAAAACCUAUAGAACUUCUCUACAUCUCCUGAAUGCAACU